rnacentral:rRNA from 1 species
UACGAACUGUGCAACCGUUAUUCGGAUUCACUGGGCUUAAAGGGUGCGUAGGCGGCCAUGUAAGUAGGGUGUGAAAUCCCCCGGCUUAACCGGGGAACUGCGCCCUAAACUGCGUGGCUUGAGUGAGAUAGGGGUGUGUGGAACUUCCGGUGGAGCGGUGAAAUGUGUUGAUAUCGGAAGGAACGCCGGUGGCGAAAGCGACACACUGGGUCUCAACUGACGCUGAGGCACGAAAGCCAGGGGAGCGAACGGG